UACGGAGGGUGCAAGCGUUAUCCGGAUUCACUGGGUUUAAAGGGUGCGUAGGUGGGCUGGUAAGUCAGUGGUGAAAUCUCCAGGCUUAACUUGGAAACUGCCAUUGAUACUAUCAAUCUUGAAUACCGUGGAGAUGAGCGGAAUAUGUCAUGUAGCGGUGAAAUGCUUAGAUAUGACGUAGAACACCAAUUGCGAAGGCAGCUCGUUAUACGAAUAUUGACACUGAUGCACGAAAGCGUGGGGAUCAAACAGG
rnacentral:rRNA from 1 species